UGGGGAAUAUUGCACAAUGGGGGAAACCCUGAUGCAGCGACGCCGCGUGAGCGAAGAAGUAUCUCGGUAUGUAAAGCCUCUAUCAGGCAAGGGAAAUGAAAAUGACGGUCACCUGAACUAAAGGCAAGGCCCCUGGACUAACUACCGUGCCAGCAGCCGCGGUAAUACGUAGGGGGCAAGCGUUAUCCGGAUUUACUGGGUGUAAAGGGAGCGUAGACGGCAAUGCAAGUCUGAAGUGAAAGGACGGGGCUUAACCCUGUGACUGCUUUGGAAACUGUGUAGCUUGAGUGCCGGAGGGGUAAGCGGAAUUCCUAGUGUAGCGGUGAAAUGCGUAGAUAUUAGGAGGAACACCAGUGGCGAAGGCGGCUUACUGGACGGUAACUGACGUUGAGGCUCGAAAGCGUGGGGAGCAAACAGGAUUAGAUACC
rnacentral:rRNA from 1 species